rnacentral:rRNA from 1 species
GACGAACGCUGGCGGCGUGCCUAAUACAUGCAAGUCGAGCGAAGUUUUUCUGGUGCUUGCACCGGAAAAACUUAGCGGCGAACGGGUGAGUAACACGUAAAGAACCUGCCUCAUAGACUGGGACAACUAUUGGAAACGAUAGCUAAUACCGGAUAACAGCAUUAACUGCAUGGUUGAUGUUUGAAAGUUGGUUUUGCUAACACUAUGAGAUGGCUUUGCGGUGCAUUAGCUAGUUGGUGGGGUAAAGGCCUACCAAGGCGACGAUGCAUAGCCGACCUGAGAGGGUGAUCGGCCACACUGGGACUGAGACACGGCCCAGACUCCUACGGGAGGCAGCAGUAGGGAAUCUUCCGCAAUGGGCGAAAGCCUGACGGAGCAACGCCGCGUGAGUGAAGAAGGAUUUCGGUUCGUAAAGCUCUGUUGUUAGGGAAGAAUGAUUGUGUAGUAACUAUACACAGUAGAGACGGUACCUAACCAGAAAGCCAC